rnacentral:rRNA from 1 species
UACGUAGGGUCCGAGCGUUGUCCGGAAUUAUUGGGCGUAAAGGGCUCGUAGGCGGUUUGUUGCGUCGGGAGUGAAAUCCCCAAGCUUAACUUGGGGCCUGCUUUCGAUACGGGCAGACUAGAGGCAUUGAGGGGAGAACGGAAUUCCUGGUGUAGCGGUGAAAUGCGCAGAUAUCAGGAGGAACACCGGUGGCGAAGGCGGUUCUCUGGCAAUGUUCUGACGCUGAGGAGCGAAAGUGUGGGGAGCGAACAGG